rnacentral:rRNA from 1 species
AUUGAACGCUGGCGGCAGGCCUAACACAUGCAAGUCGAGCGGAUGAAGGGAGCUUGCUCCUGGAUUCAGCGGCGGACGGGUGAGUAAUGCCUAGGAAUCUGCCUGGUAGUGGGGGAUAACGUCCGGAAACGGGCGCUAAUACCGCAUACGUCCUGAGGGAGAAAGUGGGGGAUCUUCGGACCUCACGCUAUCAGAUGAGCCUAGGUCGGAUUAGCUAGUUGGUGGGGUAAAGGCCUACCAAGGCGACGAUCCGUAACUGGUCUGAGAGGAUGACCAGUCACACUGGAACUGGACCACGAUCCAGACUCCUACGGGAGGCAGCAGUGGGGAAUAUUGGACAAUGGGCGAAAGCCUGAUCCAGCCAUGCCGCGUGUGUGAAGAAGGUCUUCGGAUUGUAAAGCACUUUAAGUUGGGAGGAAGGGCAGUAAGUUAAUACCUUGCUGUUUUGACGUUACCAACAGAAUAAGCACCGGCUAACUUCGUG